CUUCAAACAAGAAAGGAAAAGGAGAAAAUUACUGCAGGAUUAUUGAAAUCAAUCAAACACAACGUUCAAACUUAUCAGAAGGAAGGUAUGAUCUGUAUACCCCAAUAUUUAGGUGCAAGUGCGGAUAUGUAGAUGAAGAACUUGGGAAAGCCAUGCACCAGUCAGGUUUUUAUUCAACUGGAAGAAAUAGUAUCACUUUCUACAGCAUAAAUCUAUUGGAUUCCUGGCAUUUUCUCAAGAGAAGCAGCCCUGGAACUUCUCUUCAGGCAUUAGUUAGUGCACUGGAAUUAUUUGGUGCUUCUCGAGGGCGUCAUGGUCCCAUCAAUUUUGAGACAACAAAAAGAGUCUUCUUUGAAUGGCGUUUCCAUCAGUAUGAACUUGGGAGAAUAAAAGGAGAAUUUGACAAGGGGUGCCCUGCAUGUGAUACAACACCUGUGGCUGUACAUAUUGAUG